UUUUAUGGAGAGUUUGAUCCUGGCUCAGGAUGAACGCUGGCGGCGUGCCUAAUACAUGCAAGUCGAGCGAACGGACGAGAAGCUUGCUUCUCUGAUGUUAGCGGCGGACGGGUGAGUAACACGUGGAUAACCUACCUAUAAGACUGGGAUAACUUCGGGAAACCGGAGCUAAUACCGGAUAAUAUUUUGAACCGCAUGGUUCAAAAGUAAAAGACGGUCUUGCUGUCACUUAUAGAUGGAUCCGCGCUGCAUUAGCUAGUUGGUAAGGUAACGGCUUACCAAGGCAACGAUGCAUAGCCGACCUGAGAGGGUGAUCGGCCACACUGGAACUGAGACACGGUCCAGACUCCUACGGGAGGCAGCAGUAGGGAAUCUUCCGCAAUGGGCGAAAGCCUGACGGAGCAACGCCGCGUGAGUGAUGAAGGUCUUCGGAUCGUAAAACUCUGUUAUUAGGGAAGAACAUAUGUGUAAGUAACUGUGCACAUCUUGACGGUACCUAAUCAGAAAGCCACGGCUAACUACGUGCCAGCAGCCGCGGUAAUAC
rnacentral:rRNA from 1 species